UACGUAGGGCGCAAGCGUUGUCCGGAAUUAUUGGGCGUAAAGAGCUCGUAGGCGGUUUGUCGCGUCUGCCGUGAAAGCCCGGGGCUUAACUCCGGGUCUGCGGUGGAUACGGGGCAGACUAGAGGCAGGUAGGGGAGAACGGAAUUCCCGGUGUAGCGGUGAAAUGCGCAGAUAUCAGGAAGAACACCUAUGGCGAAGGCAGCUCUCUGGGACGGUACUGACGCUGAGACGCGAAAGCGUGGGGAGCGAACAGG
rnacentral:rRNA from 1 species